rnacentral:rRNA from 1 species
AGCGAACGCUGGCGGCAGGCCUAACGCAUGCAAGUCGAACGGACCCUUCGGGGUUAGUGGCGGACGGGUGAGUAACACGUGGGAACGUGCCUUUAGGUUCGGAAUAGCUCCUGGAAACGGGUGGUAAUGCCGAAUGUGCCCUUCGGGGGAAAGAUUUAUCGCCUUUAGAGCGGCCCGCGUCUGAUUAGCUAGUUGGUGAGGUAAAGGCUCACCAAGGCGACGAUCAGUAGCUGGUCUGAGAGGAUGACCAGCCACAUUGGGACUGAGACAUGGCCCAAACUCCUACGGGAGGCAGCAGUGGGGAAUCUUGCGCAAUGGGCGAAAGCCUGACGCAGCCAUGCCGCGUGAAUGAUGAAGGUCUUAGGAUUGUAAAAUUCUUUCACCGGGGACGAUAAUGACGGUACCCGGAGAAGAAGCCCCGGCUAACUUCGUGCCAGCCGCCGCGGUAAUAC